UAAGCCUGUGAAGGUGUGUCGUGAGGCAUGCUGGAGGUAUCAGAAGUGCGAAUGCUGACAUAAGUAACGAUAAAGCGGGUGAAAAGCCCGCUCGCCGGAAGACCAAGGGUUCCUGUCCAACGUUAAUCGGGGCAGGGUGAGUCGACCCCUAAGGCGAGGCCGAAAGGCGUAGUCGAUGGGAAACGGGUUAAUAUUCCCGUACUUGGUGUUACUGCGAAGGGGGGACGGAGAAGGCUAUGUUGGCCGGGCGACGGUUGUCCCGGUUUAAGCGUGUAGGUGUGUGUUCCAGGUAAAUCCGGUUCACUUUAACACUGAGGCGUGACGACGAGGCACUACGGUGCUGAAGCAACAAAUGCCCUGCUUCCAGGAAAAGCCUCUAAGCAUCAGGUAACAUCAAAUCGUACCCCAAACCGACACAGGUGGUCAGGUAGAGAAUACCAAGGCGCUUGAGAGAACUCGGGUGAAGGAACUAGGCAAAAUGGUGCCGUAACUUCGGGAGAAGGCACGCUGACACGUAGGUGAAGUGAUUUACUCAUGGAGCUGAAGUCAGUCGAAGAUACCAGCUGGCUGCAACUGUUUAUUAAAAACACAGCACUGUGCAAACACGAAAGUGGACGUAUACGGUGUGACGCCUGCCCGGUGCCGGAAGGUUAAUUGAUGGGGUCAGCGCAAGCGAAGCUCCUGAUCGAAGCCCCGGUAAACGGCGGCCGUAACUAUAACGGUCCUAAGGUAGCGAAAUUCCUUGUCGGGUAAGUUCCGACCUGCACGAAUGGCGUAAUGAUGGCCAGGCUGUCUCCACCCGAGACUCAGUGAAAUUGAACUCGCUGUGAAGAUGCAGUGUACCCGCGGCAAGACGGAAAGACCCCGUGAACCUUUACUAUAGCUUGACACUGAACAUUGAGCCUUGAUGUGUAGGAUAGGUGGGAGGCUUUGAAGUGUGGACGCCAGUCUGCAUGGAGCCGACCUUGAAAUACCACCCUUUAAUGUUUGAUGUUCUAACGUGGACCCGUGAUCCGGGUUGCGGACAGUGUCUGGUGGGUAGUUUGACUGGGGCGGUCUCCUCCUAAAGAGUAACGGAGGAGCACGAAGGUUGGCUAAUCCUGGUCGGACAUCAGGAGGUUAGUGCAAUGGCAUAAGCCAGCUUGACUGCGAGCGUGACGGCGCGAGCAGGUGCGAAAGCAGGUCAUAGUGAUCCGGUGGUUCUGAAUGGAAGGGCCAUCGCUCAACGGAUAAAAGGUACUCCGGGGAUAACAGGCUGAUACCGCCCAAGAGUUCAU
rnacentral:rRNA from 1 species